rnacentral:rRNA from 1 species
CCUACGGGUGGCAGCAGUGGGGAAUAUUGCGCAAUGGGGGGAACCCUGACGCAGCCAUGCCGCGUGAAUGAAGAAGGCCUUCGGGUUGUAAAGUUCUUUCGGUAUUGAGGAAGGUUGAUGUGUUAAUAGUACAUCAAAUUGACGUUAAAUACAGAAGAAGCACCGGCUAACUCCGUGCCAGCAGCCGCGGUAAUACGGAGGGUGCGAGCGUUAAUCGGAAUAACUGGGCGUAAAGGGCACGCAGGCGGUUAUUUAAGUGAGGUGUGAAAGCCCCGGGCUUAACCUGGGAAUUGCAUUUCAGACUGGGUAACUAGAGUACUUUAGGGAGGGGUAGAAUUCCACGUGUAGCGGUGAAAUGCGUAGAGAUGUGGAGGAAUACCGAAGGCGAAGGCAGCCCCUUGGGAAUGUACUGACGCUCAUGUGCGAAAGCGUGGGGAGCAAACAGGAUUAGAUACCCUAGUAGUC